rnacentral:rRNA from 1 species
GGACGAACGCUGGCGGCGUGCUUAACACAUGCAAGUCGAACGCUGAACCCGCUUCGGUGGGGGAUGAGUGGCGAACGGGUGAGUAACACGUGGGCAACCUGCCCCCGGCUCUGGGAUAACUCCAAGAAAUUGGGGCUAAUACCGGAUGUGACCGCUGGCCGCAUGGUCUGGUGGUGGAAAGGGUUUCCGGCUGGGGAUGGGCCCGCGGCCUAUCAGCUUGUUGGUGGGGUAGUGGCCUACCAAGGCGACGACGGGUAGCCGGCCUGAGAGGGUGACCGGCCACACUGGGACUGAGACACGGCCCAGACUCCUACGGGAGGCAGCAGUGGGGAAUAUUGCGCAAUGGGCGGAAGCCUGACGCAGCGACGCCGCGUGGGGGAUGACGGCCUUCGGGUUGUAAACCUCUUUCAGCAGGGACGAAGCGCAAGUGACGGUACCUGCAGAAGAAGCACCGGCCAACUACGUG